UACGGAGGGUGCGAGCGUUGUCCGGAAUCACUGGGCGUAAAGGGCGCGUAGGCGGUCUGUUAAGCGUGCGGUGAAAGCCCGGGGCUCAACCCCGGGUCUGCCGUGCGAACUGGCGGACUAGAGCACUGUAGAGGCAGGUGGAAUUCCGGGUGUAGCGGUGGAAUGCGUAGAGAUCCGGAAGAACACCGGUGGCGAAGGCGGCCUGCUGGGCAGUUGCUGACGCUGAGGCGCGACAGCGUGGGGAGCAAACAGG
rnacentral:rRNA from 1 species